UUGUGAGGUUAAGCGACUAAGCGUACACGGUGGAUGCCCUGGCAGUCAGAGGCGAUGAAGGACGUGCUAAUCUGCGAUAAGCGUCGGUGAGGUGAUAUGAACCGUUAUAACCGGCGAUUUCCGAAUGGGGAAACCCAGUGUGUUUCGACACACUAUCAUUAACUGAAUCCAUAGGUUAAUGAGGCGAACCGGGGGAACUGAAACAUCUAAGUACCCCGAGGAAAAGAAAUCAACCGAGAUUCCCCCAGUAGCGGCGAGCGAACGGGGAGGAGCCCAGAGCCUGAAUCAGUGUGUGUGUUAGUGGAAGCGUCUGGAAAGGCGUGCGAUACAGGGUGACAGCCCCGUACACAAAAAUGCACAUAUUGUGAGCUCGAUGAGUAGGGCGGGACACGUGGUAUCCUGUCUGAAUAUGGGGGGACCAUCCUCCAAGGCUAAAUACUCCUGACUGACCGAUAGUGAACCAGUACCGUGAGGGAAAGGCGAAAAGAACCCCGGCGAGGGGAGUGAAAAAGAACCUGAAACCGUGUACGUACAAGCAGUGGGAGCCUCUUUAUGGGGUGACUGCGUACCUUUUGUAUAAUGGGUCAGCGACUUAUAUUCUGUAGCAAGGUUAACCGAAUAGGGGAGCCGAAGGGAAACCGAGUCUUAACUGGGCGUUAAGUUGCAGGGUAUAGACCCGAAACCCGGUGAUCUAGCCAUGGGCAGGUUGAAGGUUGGGUAACACUAACUGGAGGACCGAACCGACUAAUGUUGAAAAAUUAGCGGAUGACUUGUGGCUGGGGGUGAAAGGCCAAUCAAACCGGGAGAUAGCUGGUUCUCCCCGAAAGCUAUUUAGGUAGCGCCUCGUGAAUUCAUCUCCGGGGGUAGAGCACUGUUUCGGCAAGGGGGUCAUCCCGACUUACCAACCCGAUGCAAACUGCGAAUACCGGAGAAUGUUAUCACGGGAGACACACGGCGGGUGCUAACGUCCGUCGUGAAGAGGGAAACAACCCAGACCGCCAGCUAAGGUCCCAAAGUCAUGGUUAAGUGGGAAACGAUGUGGGAAGGCCCAGACAGCCAGGAUGUUGGCUUAGAAGCAGCCAUCAUUUAAAGAAAGCGUAAUAGCUCACUGGUCGAGUCGGCCUGCGCGGAAGAUGUAACGGGGCUAAACCAUGCACCGAAGCUGCGGCAGCGACACUAUGUGUUGUUGGGUAGGGGAGCGUUCUGUAAGCCUGUGAAGGUGGCCUGUGAGGGUUGCUGGAGGUAUCAGAAGUGCGAAUGCUGACAUAAGUAACGAUAAAGCGGGUGAAAAGCCCGCUCGCCGGAAGACCAAGGGUUCCUGUCCAACGUUA
rnacentral:rRNA from 1 species